rnacentral:rRNA from 1 species
GAUGAACGCUGGCGGCGUGCCUAAUACAUGCAAGUCGAGCGAACGGACGAGAAGCUUGCUUCUCUGAUGUUAGCGGCGGACGGGUGAGUAACACGUGGAUAACCUACCUAUAAGACUGGGAUAACUUCGGGAAACCGUAGCUAAUACCGGAUAAUAUUUUGAACCGCAUGGUUUAAAAGUGAAAGACGGUCUUGCUGUCACUUAUAGAUGGAUCCGCGCUGCAUUAGCUAGUUGGUAAGGUAACGGCUUACCAAGGCAACGAUGCAUAGCCGACCUGAGAGGGUUAUGGGCUGCACUUGCACUGAGACACGCUCCUAACUCUAACAGGUAGCAGGAGUAUGGUAUCUUCGGCAAUGAACGAAUGCAUGACGAAGCAAAGACGCGCCAGUGAUGAAAAUCUUUGGGUCGUAAAGCACUGAAAUUCUGGAAAAAAAUCUAUGUAUGUCAAUGUGCACAGCUUCACGGUACCUAAACAGAGAGCCGCGGCUAACGAAGGA